GAUGAACGCUGGCGGCGUGCCUAAUACAUGCAAGUCGAGCGAACAGACGAGGAGCUUGCUCCUCUGACGUUAGCGGCGGACGGGUGAGUAACACGUGGAUAACCUACCUAUAAGACUGGGAUAACUUCGGGAAACCGGAGCUAAUACCGGAUAACAUGUUGAACCGCAUGGUUCAACAGUGAAAGACGGUCUUGCUGUCACUUAUAGAUGGAUCCGCGCCGCAUUAGCUGGUUGGUAAGGUAACGGCUUACCAAGGCAACGAUGCGUAGCCGACCUGAGAGGGUGAUCGGCCACACUGGAACUGAGACACGGUCCAGACUCCUACGGGAGGCAGCAGUAGGGAAUCUUCCGCAAUGGGCGAAAUCCUGACGGAGCAACGCCGCGUGAGUGAAGAAGGUCUUCGGAUCGUAAAACUCUGUUAUUAGGGAAGAACAAAUGCGUAAGUAACUAUGCACGUCUUGACGGUACCUAAUCAGAAAGCCACGGCUAACUACGUG
rnacentral:rRNA from 1 species